GACUUGGUUCAAAGAAAUGUACGACCCUCUUCACGUCUGUGUUCAAAAGGAUACAAGCAGCACUUUCAUGCAGUUCAUCACUGGGAAAACGCUGUAUUAUGACACCACAAGGGUGUAGAAUAGUGACAUGUUCCAAGAUAAAGUGAGGCUAAGUGGCUGACUGGCAACCACUUUAAGUGAGAUUGCAUUCACAGGUGACAAACUCUGGCAUUCUUUUGUCUCCUGGAGCGAUACUUAAAUUUAUAGCAGUGCUUAGGGAGGACUUUGUUCUGCUCUGCUGCUGAUACAUUUUUAUCCUAUUCACUUGUUGAGGUAAUGAGACUUCUAGCUGGUCAAACUGCUGCCAGAUUUGCCCAUGUCUUGGUUAUAUUUUGGGAACUCCACUGCCCAUGCUAACUGGAACAUAGGUAACUUUGGAGUGUGUUUUCAGAGGCUUAAUCUUUCCAGAAAUGGCAAACAAGCAAAAGCACUAUGAAUCUACAAAAAAAUUCCAUUUUCUGUACCAGAAGAGACCGAGAGCUACUCCAAUCAAAUGAGUAAAGAGAUUGAGAAAACAAAUUUCCUAGUAAAUUAACAAUUACAUGCUGC